UACAGAGGGUGCGAGCGUUAAUCGGAAUUACUGGGCGUAAAGCGUGCGUAGACGGUUAUCUAAGUCGGAUGUGAAAGCCCCGGGCUCAACCUGGGAACUGCAUCUGUGACUGCAUUGCUGGAGUGCGGCAGAGGGGGAUGGAAUUCCGCGUGUAGCAGUGAAAUGCGUAGAUAUGCGGAGGAACACCGAUGGCGAAGGCAAUCCCCUGGGCCUGCACUGACGCUCAUGCACGAAAGCGUGGGGAGCAAACAGG
rnacentral:rRNA from 1 species